rnacentral:tmRNA from 1 species
GGGGUUGACUGGUUUUGACAGCGAGAUGAACGGUACUGUAAGCAAGCCGGGGGCGGAAUGGCACCUCGUCAAAAAGUCGUUCAACAUUUAUCUGGCGAGACAUCUUACGCUCUUGCAGCUUAAUCAUCCGAUAGGAGGUUAGCUUAAUUCCGGUAUCAGAUAUCGGAACAAGACGUCUUCGAAUGGAGUUUGUCUGUUUCUCCAUUCAAUGAAGGCGCGGUCGAUAACAGAAUAGGGCAAACAGCGCAUCGAUGUUUGCUCGAAAGUUAAGAUGAUAAGCCAGGCAUAGCCUGCCAUUGGGCAGUUCCUGGUCGAAAAAUCAAACAAAGGCUAAGUUUGUAGAAAGCACUAUCUUUCCUCGUUUGGACGUGGGUUCGAAUCCCACCAACUCCACU